AGAGUUUGAUCAUGGCUCAGGACGAACGCUGGCGGCGUGCUUAACACAUGCAAGUCGAACGAUGGAGCCCAGCUUGCUGGGUGGAUUAGUGGCGAACGGGUGAGUAACACGUGGGUGAUCUGCCCUGCACUUCGGGAUAAGCCUGGGAAACUGGGUCUAAUACCGGAUAUGACCAAGGACUGCAUGGUUUUUGGUGGAAAGGUUUACUGGUGCAGGAUGAGCCCGCGGCCUAUCAGCUUGUUGGUGGGGUAAUGGCCUACCAAGGCGACGACGGGUAGCCGGCCUGAGAGGGCGACCGGCCACACUGGGACUGAGACACGGCCCAGACUCCUACGGGAGGCAGCAGUGGGGAAUAUUGCACAAUGGGCGAAAGCCUGAUGCAGCGACGCCGCGUGAGGGAUGACGGCCUUCGGGUUGUAAACCUCUUUCAGCAGGGACGAAGCGCAAGUGACGGUACCUGCAGAAGAAGCACCGGCCAACUACGUGCCAGCAGCCGCGGUAAUACGUAGGGUGCGAGCGUUGUCCGGAAUUACUGGGCGUAAAGAGCUCGUAGGCGGUUUGUCGCGUCGUCUGUGAAAACCCGCAGCUCAACUGCGGGCUUGCAGGCGAUACGGGCAGACUUGAGUACUGCAGGGGAGACUGGAAUUCCUGGUGUAGCGGUGAAAUGCGCAGAUAUCAGGAGGAACACCGGUGGCGAAGGCGGGUCUCUGGGCAGUAACUGACGCUGAGGAGCGAAAGCGUGGGUAGCGAACAGGAUUAGAUACCCUGGUAGUCCACGCCGUAAACGGUGGGCGCUAGGU
rnacentral:rRNA from 1 species